GGGGGUGAAUUUUGGUUUCGACGGGAUUAACGAGACUUAGAACUACAUACCGUGUUCCCCGAAUACACGUAAACGAAUUGGGAAAAAAACAAUAAAUGGCGAAUCUAAUUACGCCCUUGCUGCUUAAUUAAUAGUUAACAGCCGUUCAACUUAUCCUCUUGUAUCGGGCUAGGAUUGAACGACGUUUAGAUACAAUAGCUGAUUCUGUCUCUUGCGCAGGAAAAGCGAAAUAACAGCAAGUAGGCUUUAAGCGAUCUUUGUCUGUUUGGCAGCUUAAAGUCAAAAAUGAAACAGACUAUGUAUGUAGAUGUUCUUUGGAUCAUAAUUUCGGACGCGGGUUCGACUCCCGCCACCUCCACCA
rnacentral:tmRNA from 1 species